AUUGAACGCUGGCGGCAUGCCUUACACAUGCAAGUCGAACGGUAACAGGUCUUCGGAUGCUGACGAGUGGCGAACGGGUGAGUAAUACAUCGGAACGUGCCUAGUAGUGGGGGAUAACUACUCGAAAGAGUGGCUAAUACCGCAUGAGAUCUACGGAUGAGAGCAGGGGAUCGCAAGACCUUGUGCUACUAGAGCGGCCGAUGGCAGAUUAGGUAGUUGGUGGGAUAAAAGCUUACCAAGCCGACGAUCUGUAGCUGGUCUGAGAGGACGAUCAGCCACACUGGGACUGAGACACGGCCCAGACUCCUACGGGAGGCAGCAGUGGGGAAUUUUGGACAAUGGGCGCAAGCCUGAUCCAGCAAUGCCGCGUGCAGUAUGAAGGCCUUCGGGUUGUAAACUGCUUUUGUACGGAACGAAAAGCCCUGGGUUAAUACCCUGGGGUCAUGACGGUACCGUAAGAAUAAGCACCGGCUAACUACGUGCCAGCCGCCGCCGUAAUAC
rnacentral:rRNA from 1 species